GCCCGCGUAGCUCAGGGGAUAGAGCAUUCGCCUCCUAAGCGAAGGGUCGGACGUUCGAUUCGUCUCGCGGGUGCCA
rnacentral:tRNA from 2 species